rnacentral:lncRNA from 1 species
AGUGUGAUUAGGUUGCGAGCUUCCAUGGCCGUGCUAAUGUGCCGAAAAUAGUCUAACAAUAUUCGAAUUUGAAUGAAUUAGAGCAGGAACAGUUACUAUUUCUUAGAUUCUAGGGUUACUCAUCCGAAUAUCUUAUCAAGGUGUUAUAGCAUUUGAGAAAGAAAGACUAAAAUCAUAACCAAUUUACCAUCCAUCUCAUCGGGUAUCGAGACAGGUUUUCAAAGGCCCAUGUACCCCAAUUUGCUGUUUUGAUCAGCCCUAUAGUUGAAAUCAUGACCAUCUAUUCGGUCAUCGGCUGUUGAAUCAUCAGUUGUGUGCCGCGGUUGGCAACUGAUGCAAAUUAGUUUUUAAUGAUUGUGCUAAAUGAAUUCAUCAUGUAAGUACACUCAUUUCAUAUUGAUGAAAUUCAAAUAAUCUAAUACACCCAAUC